GACGGUUGUGGGAUUGUUCGAUGGCCUUGGAAACACUACGGUGGGUUUAGUCGAUGACGGGUUGAGGUGUUCUUCCCCCCCUGGACACCGAGAGGACAACACGCGAACCCGUUAUCGAAGCAGAGGUCCCGAUCGACGUGUUGUCCCGAUGGGUCGAUCAACAGUUCAGAUUUUGUAGGCAACGAUCGACCGACCGACCCGAUUGAUGGUAUUGUUGUUGUGGGAAAUGUUGGAUUGAAUCGAUUGACGGUUUCAAUUUUGUGGGAAACGAUGGACCGACCCGAUUGAUGGUUUUGAUUUUGUGGGAAAUUAUGUAUCGACCCGAUUGACGGCAAUGGAUAUCUCGCAUCGUGCGGUGCUUUCCUUGGUUCCAACUCGGCUAAAGGUUGCAUUCUUGGCCUUUGUGCUAGGAUGUGGCUAUUAGUUGGGUGGUUUUAGGGAUUGUUGACCGUAAAGGUGCAUGAGUUGUGUUUGGUUUGUUACGUGUCGUUGGCUGUCUGCUUAUGCAACAACGUCGACACGUGCAGACUUCUUCAUCUAUUGUGAAAGCGUGCUUUGCUUUUGCAUGUUGUGGGUUUCUAGCGUUGUGUUCCUGAAUUGUGGCAUUUUAUGGUUUGAACGACGUGUUUUUAAUCAUGUCACACAUAUGUGUGCCAUGUGAAAAGGCAUGAAGCUAUCUCUUCGAUCCAUUUCGUCUUCGUCUUUGGCAUUGACGUUCUGGCUUGUUGAGAAAGCUGGUCUCAUGGAUGCGGAGCUUGACUCGGUGAUUUGGUUUUAUUAACCAUUUUGGUUGCCAUUACUAGAUGUUUUUGCCUUUCCUUCAUAUGACCGUCCAUCGUG
rnacentral:misc_RNA from 1 species